CACGUAGUUAGCCGGGGCUUCCUCCCAUGGUACCGUCAUUAUCUUCCCAUAGGACAGAGCUUUACGAUUCGAAAACCUUCAUCGCUCACGCGGCGUCGCUGCAUCAGGGUUUCCCCCAUUGUGCAAGAUUCCCCACUGCUGCCUCCCGUAGGAGUUUGGACCGUGUCUCAGUUCCAAUGUGACCGUUCACCCUCUCAGGCCGGUUACUGAUCGUCGCCUUGGUGGGCCGUUACCCCGCCAACAAGCUAAUCAGACGCGAGGCCAUCUCUUACCGCUAACGCUUUGACUUCAUCAUCAGGAGAUGUCGGAGUCUUAUACGGUAUUAAUCCCGGUUUCCCGAGGCUAUCCCGUUGUAAGAGGCAGGUUCCUCACGCGUUACUCACCCGUUCGCCGCUAAUCCGAUCGAAAUCACCCCGAAGGGAUCAUUCAAUGUUCAUCGCUCGACUUGCAUGUGUUAGGCGCGCCGCCAGCGUGUCUCGUGCGCGAGUCAACUACU
rnacentral:rRNA from 1 species